rnacentral:rRNA from 1 species
UACGUAGGGUGCGAGCGUUAAUCGGAAUUACUGGGCGUAAAGCGUGCGCAGGCGGUUUUGUAAGUCUGACGUGAAAUCCCCGGGCUUAACCUGGGAAUUGCGUUGGAGACUGCAAGGCUGGAGUCCGGCAGAGGGGGGUAGAAUUCCACGUGUAGCAGUGAAAUGCGUAGAGAUGUGGAGGAACACCGAUGGCGAAGGCAGCCCCCUGGGUCAAGACUGACGCUCAUGCACGAAAGCGUGGGGAGCAAACAGG